ACGANNGGCGGACGGGUGAGUAAUGUCUGGGGAUCUGCCCGAUAGAGGGGGAUAACCACUGGAAACGGUGUCUAAUACCGCAUAACCUCGCAAGACCAAAGAGGGGGACCUUCGGGCCUCUCACUAUCGGAUGAACCCAGAUGGGAUUAGCUAGUAGGCGGGGUAAUGGCCCACCUAGGCGACGAUCCCUAGCUGGUCUGAGAGGAUGACCAGCCACAGUGGAACUGAGACACGGUCCAGACUCCUACGGGAGGCAGCAGUGGGGAAUAUUGCACAAUGGGCGCAAGCCUGAUGCACCCAUGCCGCGUGUAUGAAGAAGGCCUUCGGGUUGUAAAGUACUUUCAGCGGGGAGGAAGGCGAUGGGGUUAAUAACCUUGUCGAUUGACGUUACCCGCAGAAGAAGCACCGGCUAACUCCGUGCCAGCAGCCGCGGUAAUACGGAGGGUGCNAGCGUUAAUCGGAAUUACUGGGCGUAAAGCGCACGCAGGCGGUCUGUUAAGUCAGAUGUGAAAUCCCCGGGCUUAACCUGGGAACUGCAUUUGAAACUGGCAGGCUUGAGUCUUGUAGAGGGGGGUAGAAUUCCAGGUGUAGCGGUGAAAUGCGUAGAGAUCUGGAGGAAUACCGGUGGCGAAGGCGGCCCCCUGGACAAAGACUGACGCUCAGGUGCGAAAGCGUGGGGAGNAANCAGGAUUAGAUACCCUGGUAGUCCACGCCGUAAACGAUGUCGACUUGGAGGUUGUUCCCUUGAGGAGUGGCUUCCGGAGCUAACGCGUUAAGUCGACCGCCUGGGGAGUACGGCCGCAAGGUUAAAACUCAAAUGAAUUGACGGGGGCCCGCACAAGCGGUGGAGCAUGUGGUUUAAUUCGAUGCAACGCGAAGAACCUUACCUACUCUUGACAUC
rnacentral:rRNA from 1 species